CAUAUUGUUCCUGGAAGAGGCAAAAGCCUAGGGCUUCAAGAUGCCGGGGCUUCAAGAAACCAAGGCAUGACCUCAAGAGAUUUGCCGGAGGUGGCCUCGGUGGCAGCAGUCAUUGAAGAAAGGAAGACAGCUGCCCAGCCAGUCUGACAGACCAUACACAGACAGCCCUGUUCACAGGGAGGGUGCAUCUGAGAUCAAUGGCCAAAGAAAAUGGGCUCUGAACAGUGCUUCACUGUAACAUCCAGGAUCUGGAAAGUUGUAUUUGAGUGCUGGGUUUGAUAUACGUUAACUAGAAGAUAAAACAUGCCAACUAUGGCUAGCAGACACAGUGCCCCAUCAUGUCUGAACAAAAAGAUAUUUUAUACCAGAAGUGCGGAACAGGAUUUUUUGCAGUUUUGCUAGAAUCCUUGUCACAGUGCUUAAUAAUGUUACAUCAUUUAGAUAAUAAUUUUUCUAGUUUUCAGUUUACCUAAUAGUAAGUUUUCAAUUAUUUUAUGGAGCUUUUUCAAUCAGAACAACAUCGUACCUGUCUUUUCAGUUAUUAUUCCCAAAUAAAAGUUUAACCUCUUUUCGGAA
rnacentral:lncRNA from 1 species